UACGUAGGGUGCGAGCGUUAAUCGGAAUUACUGGGCGUAAAGCGUGCGCAGGCGGUGAUGUAAGACAGUUGUGAAAUCCCCGGGCUCAACCUGGGAACUGCAUCUGUGACUGCAUCGCUGGAGUGCGGCAGAGGGGGAUGGAAUUCCGCGUGUAGCAGUGAAAUGCGUAGAUAUGCGGAGGAACACCGAUGGCGAAGGGCAAUCCCCUGGGCCUGCACUGACGCUCAUGCACGAAAGCG
rnacentral:rRNA from 1 species